rnacentral:rRNA from 1 species
CCUACGGGAGGCAGCAGUGAGGAAUAUUGGUCAAUGGGCGGAAGCCUGAACCAGCCAAGUCGCGUGAGGGAAUAAGGCCCUACGGGUCGUAAACCUCUUUUGCCGGGGAGCAAGGGCCGGGACGAGUCCCGGUCCGGCGAGUACUCGGAGAAAAAGCAUCGGCUAACUCCGUGCCAGCAGCCGCGGUAAUACGGAGGAUGCGAGCGUUAUCCGGAUUUCUUGGGUUUAAAGGGUUCGUAGGCGGGCUAUUAAGUCAGCGGUAAAAAUUCGGGGCUCAACCCCGUCCGGCCGUUGAAACUGGGGGCCUUGAGUGGGCGAGAAGAAGGCGGAAUGCGUGGUGUAGCGGUGAAAUGCAUAGAUAUCACGCAGAACCCCGAUUGCGAAGGCAGCCUUCCGGCGCCCUACUGACGCUGAGGCACGAAAGUGCGGGGAUCGAACAGGAUUAGAUACCCCAGUAGUC